UUAACUUUAAAUUAAACACAACUUAAGUUAAUCAAGCACAUUAAUAUAAUCUACACUUAAAUAAAUUAAACUAACCACCUAAUAACACUUAACAUAAACUAAACACACCUAAAGCAUCAUUAACCCUCUAAGCGAGGUUUAGUGAGUUAAACUCACUGGAUUAGCGAGCCGAGCGGACCAAAACGACGGGGACGACGCGAGGAUCGACUUUCCUCAAAGCGGGCCGAGCAUCCGGGCUCGGGAAGGCGGCCAAAACGGGCCAAACACCCGCUGCCAUACCCAUUUUCUGGGUUGCUGAUCGGGGCCGAGAGGGAGCAGAUCCGCCGCCGAUUCGGGCGGAGGAACGGCGGAGAAGGGCCGGCGGUAGCUCGAGCAAGAACUGGCGGUGGCUUGGGCGGAGGAGCGGCGGCUGGUUUGGGGCGACGACGGCGCGGGACUCGCGGCUUGGAGCUGCGACGUCGAGGCUUCGCGGCGGAGACGGAGGCACGGCGGCUCGGCGCACGGGACGGUGAGCGGCCACGCACGGACGAGCGGCGACGGCGGCUCCGGUGGCGACAAACGGCGACGAUCGGGCGAGCGACGGGGGCGGACGAAGCUUGGCUGCUCGCUGGUUUCUUUUUCUCCC
rnacentral:lncRNA from 1 species